GUCAGAUGAACAUUGGAAGUGAACAAAAUUUCUGCACAGAGAUUUUCCUUGGUCAAAGAGUGCAACAUGAGCUGUGGACAUGAACUUUACUGUCAGAGGAAAAUUGGAAGUGAACAAUAUUUCUACAGAGAGAUUUUCCCUGGUCAAGUAUGCAACAUGAGCCGUGGAUAUGAACUUUACUGUCAGAUGUACAUUGAUUUAAAAAGGGAACAAGUUAUCUGCACUGAGAAUGAAUGAAGUUGAAGAAAGUUGAAAGGCACCCCUGAAGAACCUGAGUUAUUUUAGCCCUAUCCUAGAUUCCUUAAUUAACAUAUUUUCGUGUGUGAUAACAUGUGUGAAAUGUGAUCAAUUAUGUGACAAUUUUCAAAACUUGGAUUUAUAAAGAGAAAUUUUUCUUUGUAAAGUUUAA